rnacentral:tRNA from 1 species
GUAGUUAUGUCAGAAUUUAUAUGAGUUAGUUUUAAGCAUUAAUUAUGGAUUAUAUCCUAACUACU